UUGUUCCUACGGGGGGCAGCAGUGGGGAAUAUUGCACAAUGGGGGAAACCCUGAUGCAGCGACGCCGCGUGAGUGAAGAAGUAUUUCGGUAUGUAAAGCUCUAUCAGCAGGGAAGAUAAUGACGGUACCUGACUAAGAAGCCCCGGCUAACUACGUGCCAGCAGCCGCGGUAAUACGGAGGAUGCGAGCGUUAUUCGGAUUUAUUGGGUUUAAAGGGUGCGUAGGCGGAAUAUCAAGUCAGCGGUAAAAAUUCGGGGCUCAACCCCGUCGUGCCGUUGAAACUGAUGUUCUUGAGUGGGCGAGAA
rnacentral:rRNA from 1 species